GUACAUUGGGACAGCUCUGAAGGGCAUC
rnacentral:piRNA from 1 species